rnacentral:lncRNA from 1 species
GAAGCAAACCAUGAAAGGCAGAGACUGUGUUACAGUCAGUUUCCCAAGUCUCUGCAGCUUAUCUAACACAAGACUCCCUGGAUUCUUUCCCACUACUGGGGCCUCUGCUUGGACAGUCUCCAUCUGCUGAAGUACAGCCUUUGAGGUUUGCAAGUCCAGCAGCCAUGUCAGUGAACUCGCUGGGUCGAUGCCUGGUGUGUGCCUGUGUUAAACCAGUUGCAGUCUGAGCUGGCACUGUCACUUGGAACCAGCAGCCGAGUUAUUGUGAAAAUGAAUAUACCCACCGGAUGCAAGGGCUGCUUAAGAUGCCAAUGUUACCGCCUGUGAAGAAAUUGCAGAACUUGACCCCACUGCCCGUGGAUAGAAAUAUAAGGGGAAGGAAAAGACUUUAUCUUAUACAUGUCAUCUGGUUCCAAGUAAAACUAAGGAGUACUUCUCCCUUGCAAAGAAGGUGUUUAGCGGCAAAAGAUUUUAGUAAAUACGUUCUAAAAUGUUUUGAAGUGUCUAUAGAAGUAUUUUUUCCAAUGAAAAUGUGAAAUUCAUCGCCCUCUUAUUAUUGUGCAAAAAUUGAGAGAACAGGUUGUGUCUCAUAUUGUCAGGGCAUAGGUUUCUGGUCUGUUCUGGCCUGAACUGUUUAUAACAACUGAGAAAGAUUUGUACUCCAGUCAUUCUUUUAUUUCAUGUUUAUGUAGAACUCAUUCCAAAGGGCCUCCUAUAUCUGUUUCAUUUUCCCUUCUGUAAAAUAAACAACAGAAUUUUACUACUUCUGUGGGAUUU